ACAGACACUCUGGAAAAUGGAUCCAGUAAGGGUGACAGUGCAGCUAAAAGAAAGGGACCCAGCAAGGAGGACACAUACUGGAAGGAGAUCAAUGCAGCGAUGGCCUUAACAAAUCUUGCACAGGGAAAAGACAAACUGCAGGGGACUACUAGCUGCAUCAUCCAGAAGUCGUCCCAUAUAGCAGAAGUAAAGACAGUCAAAGUGCCCCUGGUGCAGCAGUUUUAAGAGCUUGUCACUUUUCAGGUCUAAUGGAUGUUCUUCAUGUCAAUGUUUUUUUGUAAAUCCUCAUCCUAAGAGCCGAAGCAGGAGUGAAAGAUACUCCCUUUCAAAACUCUUCUUAUUUUUAAUUAUCCAAAAUAUAUCAUUUAGUUGCUUCUAUAAAAGACAUAUAAAUUAUAAAAAAAAACUCAUUUUAAUCAAAAAUAUUAACUUAUUUUAUGUUACUCAAACUAUGCAUAAAAUGUCUGCAUUACCAUUACAGUAAGUGCCUUGCUUCCCGAAAAUAAGCUCCAACGUGGGCAUAGUGGAACAGCUAUGCCUCAAAAUGCCAACGCCGUAUGCUUAUUAGUCUGUGUGCAUCAUUCCAGAUGGAUGCAAUCAUUCCAGACCUGAAACCAGAAUUGCUCAAAGUCCUUGAAAUAUAUUCGAUAAUUCACAUGUUAAAACGUGGAAAUCUGUUCAGGCCAAAUGAAAUGUUCCUUUAAAAGAACUUCUGCAGUAUUGAAAAUUGUUCAAUGUGCUUUUCAGGGUGAUGGUGGGAACUCCAUGCACGCAUCUUGCCUGCAUAUCUGAUGUGUUACAAACUUCCAAAGUGAAAGGUGUGGCAAUCCAUCCACAUAAUGCGUACAUUUAAGAAGUGAGUCCUUCAAACUAAUUUAAAAUUGCAAUGAAUACAUUGUGAUCAGAAAAACUUUUUUCAAGUACUUCUGGAAAGCACCACAAUGCCCUUUAGAAUUAAUUUGGAUUUUCUUUUUCUCAAGUUUUGCUAAAGUUUUUAAAAACUUUAUUAUAUAAAUAACUCAAAAUUUUCCUGUUUAAAACUAAACCUAUAGUUUAGUUUUAAAACAUAAUCCUGUUUGCAUUAGAGUUCAGUGUUUUUUGUGAUGGAAACUUUUUCAAACGGAAUGACUAAAAACCUUUAUUUGGUUCAUUUCAAAUUACAAUUGCUGAUGGACAAUUUGUACUGCAGUGAGAACAAGACAAUGAAAGAAAUGUAUCUCUGUGAAUAUACAUAUACACGCAUAAAAUCGGUUUUUAAAUUUGAAACAUAUGGAAAACAAACAUUAAACAGUCUCUGAAUUUUGCCAAGUAGGACAUUAAAGUAAAAAUUAAGUGAAAUCAUGCAUUAAAAGAAAGAACAUUUUGUUUCUAAAUUAGGAUUUAGAAACUACCAUUGAGUGAGAAUAAUCAAUAUCAAGAGAGAAAAAUGUCUUUUUCAAUCAAACAAUAAUGUUCCAAUCAGCUUCGGAAGAUAUGAAACUUGACCAAACAGUGGAGAUGCCAAAUAUAACAGAGUGUAUAUGCUACAGAGAAGUAAAAAGGAUUUGACUCUUUUAUGAUGGGAUUUUUUUUUCUGGGUGUGUAAUGUAUUUUGUAAUUUUUUUUUUUUUAUACUGGAAAGUAUUUUUUGUGAGUGUCAAUGAGAGCCAGUAGUGCAGCCAUGUGGUGACAUUUUUCUUUAUUUUGCAAAAUGUUUUUAAAACCAAAGCCUGUUCUAGUUACUAUAUGGACAGUGUCAGUCUUGAUAUAAAUUGUAGGACACUUUUUUCACGUAACAUAGCAUUUGGGGAUUGGGUUUACUUCGUGUAAUGAAUAUAAUUUGAUAUAAAAAUAUUUUGUGUAUAUAGAUAUUUUUACUUUGUUUUUUAAAUUGCUGUUUGCAGUAACAGUAAAUGCAAAGCAAGAUAUGUUAAGUUAUGACUGUAUGAUCAGAUGAAGUAUGAGUUCUUUUGGUUUACAUCCUUAAGUAGUUAGUUAUCCAUAAUAAAAACUUUGGAAUCUUUAUGAAACAAUUUUUCCAAAAUGUGAGCAUGUAAAUGAAAACUAAGGACAAGUACUUCACUCUUUUUCAUACUAUUUUUGUAAGUUAUUCUGGUAUUAAAUAUUUUAAAGAAGUGUUUUUGACAUAUUUCAGUUAGAUGAAUGAAUGCUGGUUAUAUUUUAUUUGAAUUAAUCAUGAUUCAUUUUUGCCAUCUCUUUUUUAAAAAAAUCAGCAAAUUGGUUCUGUGUUACAAACUGUAGAUGAUAAGUCAAUAUAGGACAGCUGUUCACAUGAUUUUUUAAAAUACCAAAGCUUGGAGACUGGCCUGUAAACAUGUCAAGAAGAUUUUAUAAAUAGCACAUGCUUGGCAAUAUCUUCAAUUGCAAUUACAUUUAAUUUAUUUUUUUCUUUUGCUGCUUUAACAUGUUCUGGAAAUUAAAGUCCCCCAGUCUUUUAAAAGGUCUUGAACAAUGCUGAGCCAGCAGCUGAGAAUCUAACUCAUAAUUUAUGUUGUAGAGAAAUAGAAUUACCUCUCUUUGUUUUGCCACAUGUAAUCAUUUUAAUAAAAUUAAUACCUGCCAGGAGUUCUUGACAGAUUUAAAAUAAAUGUUAAUUUCUAGACCUC